CCUUUGACGUUAGCGGCGGACGGGUGAGUAACACGUGGGUAACCUACCUAUAAGACUGGGAUAACUUCGGGAAACCGGAGCUAAUACCGGAUAAUAUUUCGAACAGCAUGGUUCGAUAGUGAAAGGUGGUUUUGCUAUCACUUAUAGAUGGACCCGCGCCGUAUUAGCUAGUUGGUAAGGUAACGGCUUACCAAGGCGACGAUACGUAGCCGACCUGAGAGGGUGAUCGGCCACACUGGAACUGAGACACGGUCCAGACUCCUACGGGAGGCAGCAGGC
rnacentral:rRNA from 1 species